GUGCCAGCAGCCGCGGUAAUACAGAGGGUGCGAGCGUUGUCCGGAAUCACUGGGCGUAAAGGGCGCGUAGGCGGCUCGGUAAGUAGGGGGUGAAAUCUCACGGCUCAACUGUGAGGCUGCCUUCUAGACUGUCGGGCUUGAGCACAGUAGAGGCUGGUGGAAUUCCCGGUGUAGCGGUGGAAUGCGUAGAGAUCGGGAAGAACAUCUGUGGCGAAGGCGGCCAGCUGGGCUGUUGCUGACGCUGAUGCGCGACAGCGUGGGGAGCAAACAGGAUUAGAUACCCUUGUAGUCC
rnacentral:rRNA from 1 species